GACGAACGCUGGCGGCGUGCUUAACACAUGCAAGUCGAGCGGUAAGGCCCUUCGGGGUACACGAGCGGCGAACGGGUGAGUAACACGUGGGUGAUCUGCCCUGCACUUCGGGAUAAGCCUGGGAAACUGGGUCUAAUACCGGAUAUGACCAAGGACUGCAUGGUUUUUGGUGGAAAGGUUUCCUGGUGCAGGAUGGGCCCGCGGCCUAUCAGCUUGUUGGUGGGGUAAUGGCCUACCAAGGCGACGACGGGUAGCCGACCUGAGAGGGUGACCGGCCACACUGGGACAGAGAAACGGCCCAGACUCCUACGGAAGGCAGCAGUGGGGAAUACUGCACAAUGGGCGAAAGCCUGAUGCAGCGACGCCGCGUGAGGGAUGACGGCCUUCGGGUUGUAAACCUCUUUCAGCAGGGACGAAGCGAAAGUGACGGUACCUGCAGAAGAAGCACCGGCCAACUACGUGCCAGCCGCCGCGGUAAAAC
rnacentral:rRNA from 1 species